GGAAGUGUUGCUCAGUGGUAGAGUGCUUACCUAGCAUGUGUGAGGGCCUGGGUUUGAUCCACAGCACUGCAA
rnacentral:tRNA from 1 species